rnacentral:miRNA from 1 species
UUUGUACUUCAUCAGGUGCUCUGG